UUUUAGUAGAGAAGGGGUUUCGCCAUGCUGGCAAGGCUGGUCUCGAACUCCUGACCUCAGUUCCUUUGAGACAGGAUCUUGUUCUGUUACUCAGGCUCAUUGCAACAAGGUGAUUUUCCCGCCUCAGCCUCCAGAGUAGCUGGAUUACAGGCCUGUGCCACCACACCCAGCAGAGACGGGAUUUCACUGUGUUCGCCAGGAUGGUCUCGAUCUCCUGACCUCGUGAUCCUCCUGCCUUGGUCUCCCAAAGUGCUGGGAUUACAAGCAUGAGCCACCGCGCCCGGCCAGCCGGUAACUUCUUUACAAAUGGGCUGCAGCAUAUUUUAUUACCUUCUCCUGACAAUUUCUUAUUUGACUAUCAUUUCCAGAACAUACUAGCCUUUUGCAUGCCUUUACGCCCGUGGCAAACAUUGUUGUUUGCCUCCUCAUAACCAUUCUCCCUGUCCUGCUUGCUAAUGAGACCCCAGUGCUGUUGAUCUUUUCCACAGCUCUGAGUUUUAGAGGUGGCAAAGCCCCUACCUAGACAUGGAGACUGAAUCUUCACCAGUCUACAAGACAAAGAGAUGAGAAGGGAGGUCAGAUGGGAAUGUUCUGGGAAAGUUUACCUCACUAUCUAAAGCCACCCAAGUCAGGGACAUCCCUUUUCUUCCUGUGGACUUUGUCAUCUGCAAGGGAUGCUGGAACUGUGGCUGCCAUAGGGAGACCACAGAAAGUACUGGCCUAAGAAGACGAGUUCAGCCAGGCGCGGUGGCUCACACCUUUAAUCCCAGCACUUUGGGAGGCCGAGGUGGGUGGAUUAUUUGAGGUCAGGAGUUCAAG